rnacentral:rRNA from 1 species
AGAGAGAGACAUGCGCGCAUAUCAAUAAGCGGAGGAAAAGAAACUAACAAGGAUUCCCUUAGUAACGGCGAGUGAAGCGGGAAGAGCUCAAAUUUGAAAUCUUCAAGGUUUUACCUUGACGAAUUGUAGUUUAAAGAAGUGUUUUCUGCUGAAGUUUUGGUAAAAGUUCUUUGGAAUAGGACAUCAUAGAGGGUGAGAAUCCCGUAUUUGACCAUUAUUUUCAGCUUUGUGAUACACUUUCAAAGAGUCGGAUUGUUUGGGAAUGCAGUCCAAAAUGGGUGGUAAAUUUCAUCUAAAGCUAAAUAUUGGCGAGAGACCGAUAGCGAACAAGUACCGUGAGGGAAAGAUGAAAGAGAACUUUGAAAAGAGAGUUAAACAGUACGUGAAAUUGUCAAAAGGGAAGCGUUUGACACCAGUGUUGUUUUCCUCGAAAAUCAAUUAAAAAUGGCUCGAUUUUGUAUUGUUGAGACCUUAAAAGCUCACUGUACAUUUUUUCGUGUCUUUUUUAAUGCACUUUUCGUUUAACAAGUCAACAUCAGUUUCUUUUGUUGUAAAAGGGUCAUUGGAAGGUGGCUUUCUUUUCGGAGAAAUGUGUUUAUAGCCUUUGGCCUCUGCAAUCGGAGAGACUGAGGUCUGCAGCGUAGACUCUUCGGGGUUAGAUACAUUUGUGCUAAGUUAUAGCUUUUUAUAGACAACUUGUUGACUAUAAUUAGUCUUGUAGCUUACUCGCUUAUGCUAUUUUACCUACGCUUAGGAUGUUGAAGAUGUAGCACAUCAU